AAGUAUGCAUGAGAUGAAGGCUAAACGAGCUACCAAACAAUGCAUGAUGACUUAGUGUAAAUAGUGCUAGAUGAAUGCAUUGAUUAAUGCUAAAGUAUACAUGAUAAGCAUGCAUGCGGAUAAUGCUAAGUAAUGGUAUGAUAAGCAUGAUAUAGAAAUAAUAAAUGCAAGCAUGUGGUUAAUGCUAAGAAUAUAGAUGAUGACAUGAUAAAAAUGCUAAGUCCAUGUAUGAUAAGCAUGUUUUAGGGAUGCUAAAAUAAGAAUGCUAAGUAAAGGACAUAUCAUGUGAUGCUAGUGAUAUAUGUGCAUGAUGACAUAUUGCAUGUGAUAGAUGAACUAUGCAUGUUGACAUAUAGAGGAUUAUAUUAGUUGACAUUUACAUGUUAAACUUAGGGUCGAUAACUGUAGGUUGAUUAGAGAACUCGACAUUGGAAAACUAGUGUAAUGCUCGAUGUGGACAAUCUAUAUACAUUAGAUCGAGUGGCAUUAAACCUAGUGUCUUGAACAUAGGUUGAACAUGAAUGAUAUGAACCUAGUGUUAGUAAACCUAGGUCGGACAUGAAGGACAUAUGAACCUAGUGUGAAUAUACAUAGGUUGGACAUCAAGUGGCAUUGAACCUAAUGUUAAAGAACAUAGGUUGGAAUCAUGUGUGGCAUUUAAUCCAGCGUUAAAGAACAUAGGUUGGACAUGAACCUAGUGUUAAAGAAAGUAGUUAAACAAGAUUUAACCCAAAGUGACAUUGUGGCUUGGUAUUAGCGGUAUAUGCAUAAUUAGGUAAAAACCUAUCAUUGGCAUUGAGGCAUAGAGAUAUGGAACAGGUUGGCUAUACCUCCUCAAAUUGAGGAUGGGAUCGUACUCACAUGUAUCGGUUCCGGCUUGUGCGAGGUCGCUCCUCUACAGGCGGUGUACUCCGGAGUGUAGACACUACGGGUGAGAGUGCCCGGCGAAUAUCCCUCGGGUGACAGUGCCUUGUGCCUUCCCCAGUAGACGGGAUGGAUCCCUCGGGGGCAUUUUCCAAUGCUAAUCUCGGUAGAUGGGACAUGUGAGAUGUGAGCUUGGGGCGAACUUGAUGAACCCCAGGAAGAUUGGGUAAAGGCCAAAGUGAAUGUGUGAAAGUAUGCAUUAUGAGCUAUGGAUUUGGUAUUCCAGUUGAGUGGAUUUAUGGCUGAGGUGCAUGUGGGACGUCCUUCACCUCGAGCCUGGAUGCAUGCGGUAUUCCGCAGAUGAUUGACUCGAGACCGAGUCGGGUGGUUAGCUUGGCUAGGGUAGAGGAAAACCUUAGGAGCAAAUAACCAAUGAUGUAAAGUGACAAGAUGUAUAAAUUAUGGAAAAGCUAUGGAUAGUAUGAUAGAAAGUAAAAUCAUUUAUUUUACUUGUAUAAUUGCAUGGUUUCAUAUUGCAUAUCGCAAGGCAUGACAUGUAGUUCAAUAUCGAAUAAAUGUUUAAAUAUUUGUUAUAUGUUAUUGGACUAACCCGUACCCACUGGGAACCAUGGAGUUGGUUCUCACCCCACGUUGUUUUGGGGUGUUACAGGUUCACACGUGAGCGGUGCGGCGGCGCGAGGCUAGGGCGUAGCUCCAUAGAUAGCGCCCCACGACCGAGACCAGAGAUAGCGGUACCCUGAGUCGGCUACUCAGGGAUGUAAGAAAGUGAAAGGAAUAAGAUUGCAAUAAUUUGUAAUAAAAGCAUGAUUGUAUUUGGAAGUUAAAUGUAAUAUGUAAUUGUGAUGUAAAAUGUAUCUAGUGAAUGUGAAUACUUGUAAUAACAAGUAGAUUAUGUUUUUGAUACUUCCUUAUGCAAUCUUUGAUUGAAAUGUGUUCCUGGUUGGAACUUCGUAUAUUGUAUUGAUUGCGACGCCUUGGACGUACAGGGGAGACUCUGUCCGCGGUACAGGGGAAACCCUGUCCGUUCGGCAGUCUGUCGGCGACGCCGCGAUCCGAAACCGACCAAAUAGGCGGGCUCGGAGCGUGACAGAUAAGAU
rnacentral:lncRNA from 1 species